GUACGGGGGGGGCAAGCGUUGUUCGGAAUUACUGGGCGUAAAGGGCUCGUAGGCGGCCUGUUAAGUCGAACGUGAAAUCCCCGGGCUCAACCCGGGAACUGCGUCCGAUACUGGCAGGCUUGAAUUCGGGAGAGGGAUGUGGAAUUCCAGGUGUAGCGGUGAAAUGCGUAGAUAUCUGGAGGAACACCGGUGGUGUAGACGGCUUUCUGGACCGUAACUGACGCUGAGACACGAAAGCGUGGGUAGCAAACAGG
rnacentral:rRNA from 1 species